AGCGAACGCUGGCGGCAGGCCUAACACAUGCAAGUCGAACGGAUCCUUCGGGAUUAGUGGCGGACGGGUGAGUAACACGUGGGAACGUGCCCUUUGGUUCGGAACAACUCAGGGAAACUUGAGCUAAUACCGGAUGUGCCCUUCGGGGGAAAGAUUUAUCGCCAUUGGAGCGGCCCGCGUCUGAUUAGCUAGUUGGUGGGGUAAAGGCUCACCAAGGCGACGAUCAGUAGCUGGUCUGAGAGGAUGAUCAGCCACAUUGGGACUGAGACACGGCCCAAACUCCUACGGGAGGCAGCAGUGGGGAAUCUUGCGCAAUGGGGGAAAGCCUGACGCAGCCAUGCCGCGUGAAUGAUGAAGGUCUUAGGAUUGUAAAAUUCUUUCACCGGGGACGAUAAUGACGGUACCCGGAGAGGAAGCCCCGGCUAACUUCGUGCCAGCAGCCGCCGUAA
rnacentral:rRNA from 1 species